GGUCCCGUGGCUCAGCGGGAGAGCGCUUCCCUGACACGGAAGAGGUCACUGGUUCAAUCCCAGUAUCGCGCACCA
rnacentral:tRNA from 1 species